rnacentral:lncRNA from 1 species
GCAUAAAAUGUAUAUGAAUAACCAAUGAGGCAUAAUGUAAUGCUUAUGUAAAAUGCUUGUUUUAAUAACAAAAAUUACUUAUGAUUUUAAGGUUGUAACAAACUUGGUUUGAAUGAAAUGAAUUUGCGGUUAUAGAAAUGAAUAUGGAUUUUAGAAAUAAAUCUAAGAAUAAUCAAAAUGUCAAUUUAAAAUAAAAAAAAACCAACAAAACCAAUUAAAAUCGAAUCAAUCUAUAAUUUGUUAAAAUUACUUUGAUAUCAACUCUAAC